GCUUAUCACCAUUCCAGAUUGAAUAUACCCGAUCUCGUCUGAUCUCGGAAGUCAAGCAAUCUCGGGCUUGGUUAGUACUUGGAUAAGUGACCGCUUGGGAAUACCAAGUGGGAAA
rnacentral:rRNA from 1 species